GACGAACGCUGGCGGCGCGCUUAAUACAUGCAAGUCGAGUGAGAACUAGGGCUUCGGCCCUGGGGACAGCGGCGAACGGGUGAGUAACACGUGGGUAAUCAACCCCCGACACCGGGAUAGCCCAGGGAAACUUGGAUUAAUACCGGAUGCCCCAUCUGGCUUUCGAGCCGGCUGGAAAAGGGUAGCUUCGGCCUCCGGUCGGGGACGAGCCCGCGGCGGAUUAGCUUGUUGGUGAGGUAAAGGCUCACCAAGGCGACGAUCCGUAGCUGGUCUGAGAGGACGCUCAGCCACACUGGGACUGAGACACGGCCCAGACUCCUACGGGAGGCAGGAGGAGGGAAUCGUGCGCAAUGGGCGAAAGCCUGACGGAGCGACGCCGCGUGAGGGAAGAAGGCCUUCGGGUUGUAAACCUCUUUCAGGAGGGACGAAGCCACUCGGGUUAAUAGCCUAGAGGGUGACGGUACCUCCAGAAGAAGCCCCGGCUAACUACGUGCAGCCGCCGCGGUAA
rnacentral:rRNA from 1 species